rnacentral:tRNA from 1 species
GAGGGUAUAGCUCAGUGGUAGAACGUUUGCUUAGCAUGCACAAGGUCCUGGGUCCAAUCCCCAGUUCCUCCG